AACGAACGCUGGCGGCAUGCCUAACACAUGCAAGUCGAACGAGACCUUCGGGUCUAGUGGCGCACGGGUGCGUAACGCGUGGGAAUCUGCCCUUGGGUUCGGAAUAACAGUUGGAAACGACUGCUAAUACCGGAUGAUGACGUAAGUCCAAAGAUUUAUCGCCCAAGGAUGAGCCCGCGUAGGAUUAGCUAGUUGGUGAGGUAAAGGCUCACCAAGGCGACGAUCCUUAGCUGGUUUGAGAGGAUGAUCAGCCACACUGGGACUGAGACACGGCCCAGACUCCUACGGGAGGCAGCAGUGGGGAAUAUUGGACAAUGGGCGAAAGCCUGAUCCAGCAAUGCCGCGUGAGUGAUGAAGGCCUUAGGGUUGUAAAGCUCUUUUACCCGGGAUGAUAAUGACAGUACCGGGAGAAUAAGCUCCGGCUAACUCCGUG
rnacentral:rRNA from 1 species